rnacentral:rRNA from 1 species
UACGUAGGGGGCAAGCGUUGUCCGGAUUUAUUGGGCGUAAAGAGCGUGUAGGCGGUUAGUUAGGUCCGUUGUGAAAACUCGAGGCUCAACCCCGAGACUCCGUUGGAAACCAUCUGACUAGGGUUCGGAAGAGGAGAGUGGAAUUCCUGGUGUAGCGGUGAAAUGCGCAGAUAUCAGGAAGAACACCCGUGGCGAAGGCGGCUCUCUAGUACGGUACUGACGCUGAGGCGCGAAAGCGUGGGGAGCGAACAGG